rnacentral:misc_RNA from 1 species
GAGGAGGACGCCGAAGGUGGGGCUAAUGACUGGGGUGAAGUCGUAACAAGGUAGCCGUACCGGAAGGUGCGGCUGGAUCACCUCCUAACAGGGAGACAACAAAAUGUUUAAUAUUAUUAUUUUGUCACCUUAGGUCGAUCGGUAUCUCACGUUCUUAUUAUUAAGAAUUUCAUUUCCUAAGUUUUUUCUAGGUCACACCCAUUUUUUUUCCUGGGCCAUUAGCUCAGGUGGUUAGAGCGCACCCCUGAUAAGGGUGAGGUCCCUGGUUCAAGUCCAGGAUGGCCCAUAUCUCUAUGUUGGGGGUAUAGCUCAGUUGGUAGAGCGCCUGCUUUGCAAGCAGGAUGUCAGCGGUUCGAGUCCGCUUACCUCCACUGAUUACCACCUCUUACAUAAACUGUAGAAAGGAAAUUUUUUGAGUUGUGAUCAAAUUCUGAACGAAUCUAGCUUCCUAAUGAAACCAUUAAGAUGCUGGACUCAUUGAAUUAAUUUCAUUGUUUUCAGAGAACCUUGACAACUGCAUAGAUUAUUUUUAAAGACAAUAAGCAUCUUUAAUGAUGCAGAUUUAUUAUUUGUGCAAAUGCAUUAAUAACAAUUCUAUUAAGCUGAUGCUUCAAUUAUGAAGUUAUUGGUCAAGCUACAAAGGGCUCACGGAGGAUA